rnacentral:lncRNA from 1 species
CCUCACUACAAAAGGGGACCAUAGAGGAUUCUUGGAUAAGCUUUUUAGGCUAAAAAAGCACUCUCUUGCUAAAUUCUUCCUCACUGUUCCCAAAGCUUCAACUAGAUUAAGCAUCGAAAGGUCCUUCACUAGAGAAUUUCUAAUGAUUGAAUCUUUUCUGUAGGUCCUAGGAGUGUCUAAUCAUCCUUGGAUCACCGCCAACCACCAAGCUCCACC